UCCAUUUCUUUGAGUACAUCAUGGGACACAGAGCAGACUAUACAUUACUAACUGGGUUAUAUGCUACCUAUAGGUGAAUGGACACUGGAGGAUCAAAACAGAAUGGAAGUCCCCCACUAUAUAACCCCACCCAUAUAGGAAGUACUCCAGUUUUGUAGUGAUGUGGAUCAAUUAAUUUCCCUGACACAAUUUCUCAGGGUGGAACCCAUCCUACCGUUUGAUUCAAAUUAAUAUGGUGAGACAGUGCAAUCUAUAGACAAAACAGACCACAUCUCACCUUUCCAACGUUCGCCAGCAGAGAGAGGGCCGAGCUAUAGCCCUGUUAGAAUAUUAUUCCAAAUUCAUAAUUCGGCAAUUCAUGGCAAGCUUGCAAAACAUAUUUUGAUUUAUGAUUAAUCAUAAUAAUUAGGUAUGAAUGAAUGACCUUGAUCAAUUGAUAUGACAUAAUUCUUCUAUCCAAAACUGAGCAUUACUGGUCAACCGAUUUGAGAAUGACAUAAGCUUGUUGAAUGUCAGGCAGUUGUUCUACUAUGUCCAAAGUUGACAUGAGUUCAGGAGGUCAGCAGGCUAACAGAUAAGUAUACACAUAGAGUUCAUGUGUCAGAGCUGACAUGUUUUUACAUGCUUUAAAGUUAAAAUCACAGAUUAUCCAUAACUUAGCUAUUUAUUUGAUAUUGUUGUUUAAUUAUUUAGAGCUAGUUUAAGUGAAGUCUUAGUCAUACUGAUAUGUAUUAGUAUAUAGUUACUUAAUGAAGUUAUAGCUUUAUAGCUGAUAAUAUAUGUUCUAUGACAUUGCAUCAUCAAGCACACUACUCUAAGUAUAGAGUGUCACAUGUGUGCCUGUCAAUCAAACUCCAUACGACUCUGUGCUAAGAUCUUCAUAUUGCUGAACCUAGCAGAUAUUAAUAUUUGCCAUACAAGGGUCUAAGCCUGGGCCGUAUGAGGUCAUGACGUUCACUUGUAACAUAUAUUUAAGCUUUGCUUUAAAGAAGGCUGAACACAUUUGCACCACACACUUACAUGACACACUGAUACUAACUCACAAUAAGACACACUCACUCACACCCUCUUUGAAAGACAACACUGACAUAUUGACAAGGACAACAGCUGAUACUAGAAGUCAAGAACGUCAUUUCCUGCUUCACUUUGGAAAAUCUCAGAGACAAUGCUCACAUGCUUUCAUAAGCUUGCUACAAUACUAUCGAUCCAAUUCCAGAUACUUUUCAUCUACGCUAAACUGAACUUUAUACUAUUUUUCAUUGUGUUUGUGAUGCCACCUGUGUGACAAUAAACUCACACGUUAUUUUCAAAUCAACCUGACUAUGAAUGAUCUUCAUUCAGAUACGCCCUUGAAGCUAUAAGAAUAUUAGUUAUUAAUUUUACAUUCUUACAGUGGCGAGCCAAAGAAAGUACUGUCUUAUCUCUAUUUUUACGGAAGUCUCGACCCUUGAUGAGGGGGGGAGAGAUUAGCGCAGUCUUUGCGAAUAUUCAAGUCUCGAGAAAAAAGACGGUUCAGAACCUAUCAAGCAAGAGGCGUUUGUGUCGCGUCAGAUGUGGACAACAGUCCAGUAACAGACGGUUGAUGACGAGAAAUCCUUCUAAUAACGAUAUGGCAUCUAAAAUCAAACAAAUAUGGAGGAUAACAAGCUUCUAUAAAGAGCAAAGAGAAAUUCAAAGUUAAAGAAGAGAUCCUUUUUGGAAGAAUAUUUGACAAAAGAUUUAUAUUUCAUAUUUAUGAACUAUUUUAUCUUAUUCAUCAAGGUUUUUCUAACGGAACUUGAAGAAGACAUUUUAAAGACAUUUCAUGAAGAAACAUUAAUCGGAAGGAACAUUGUCUAUCUACUAUAGAUAAACAAUUUAGGACUGAAACAUUUGUCCACAUAUACAUAUACAUUUUUUGAUUAUCCAAUUAUUAUGAUAUUAAUGUUCACAUGAAGUUAGGCACAUAUUGAAUGUUAGCACACUCAUUCUAGUUAAUAGAACAUUUUUUGUUCAUAACUUAAGAAAGAUAUCAUUAAUAGAACUAUGGAAAGUUAUGAAAGUUUUAGAGUAUAAAGUAUAUUUCCAAAGAGCUAAAAUAUUAUUUGAGCACAUAUAUGGAAAUAUAUUAUUGCAUUAUUUACUUAUUUUAAUAAUAAUAAUUUCCAUUAUUAUUAUUAAUAUUAAUAAUUAUUGAUAUUAGUCAUCAUUAUGUUAUACAUUUUUAAAAUCUAUACCAUUAUUUCUGGUAAGAUUUUGAUUAGAUAGAUCUAAGAAGAGUUAAAAGUAAAGAGUAAAGCAUUUAGGAAAAGGAAAAUUUCUAGUUGCUUCAGUUCUGAGGAAUAUCGUGUCCAAUCGUUUGAUAGAAGGUGGAGAAAAUGAGAUAUGAAUGUAUGUAUGUGUGUAUUAAAUGAUUUAGUAUGAUUAAUCAUAAUUCAGGGGGGAUUGUUAGAAUAUUAUUCCAAAUUCAUAAUUCGGCAAUUCAUGGCAAGCUUGCAAAACAUAUUUUGAUUUAUGAUUAAUCAUAAUAAUUAGGUAUGAAUGAAUGACCUUGAUCAAUUGAUAUGACAUAAUUCUUCUAUCCAAAACUGAGCAUUACUGGUCAACCGAUUUGAGAAUGACAUAAGCUUGUUGAAUGUCAGGCAGUUGUUCUACUAUGUCCAAAGUUGACAUGAGUUCAGGAGGUCAGCAGGCUAACAGAUAAGUAUACACAUAGAGUUCAUGUGUCAGAGCUGACAUGUUUUUACAUGCUUUAAAGUUAAAAUCACAGAUUAUCCAUAACUUAGCUAUUUAUUUGAUAUUGUUGUUUAAUUAUUUAGAGCUAGUUUAAGUGAAGUCUUAGUCAUACUGAUAUGUAUUAGUAUAUAGUUACUUAAUGAAGUUAUAGCUUUAUAGCUGAUAAUAUAUGUUCUAUGACAUUGCAUCAUCAAGCACACUACUCUAAGUAUAGAGUGUCACAUGUGUGCCUGUCAAUCAAACUCCAUACGACUCUGUGCUAAGAUCUUCAUAUUGCUGAACCUAGCAGAUAUUAAUAUUUGCCAUACAAGGGUCUAAGCCUGGGCCGUAUGAGGUCAUGACGUUCACUUGUAACAUAUAUUUAAGCUUUGCUUUAAAGAAGGCUGAACACAUUUGCACCACACACUUACAUGACACACUGAUACUAACUCACAAUAAGACACACUCACUCACACCCUCUUUGAAAGACAACACUGACAUAUUGACAAGGACAACAGCUGAUACUAGAAGUCAAGAACGUCAUUUCCUGCUUCACUUUGGAAAAUCUCAGAGACAAUGCUCACAUGCUUUCAUAAGCUUGCUACAAUACUAUCGAUCCAAUUCCAGAUACUUUUCAUCUACGCUAAACUGAACUUUAUACUAUUUUUCAUUGUGUUUGUGAUGCCACCUGUGUGACAAUAAACUCACACGUUAUUUUCAAAUCAA